GGCUGCACAAAGUUUAACUUAAAUAUUUUUUUUUGCAAAAGUCCAUCCAAGGUUCUCCAGGAGCUUUUCAGACUAUGGUUCAGUCAGGCUCAGGUUUGGAAGAGUGAUGAGAGAUGUACCAUUUGAAGUCUUGCUUUGGCAUCAAGAUUCAGGAAGCCCUGCAGUCAUGAGAGUGCUGUGCAGUUUUCACAGCCACAAGGUUGUCCUGAAACAGCAAGGAAAAAGCACAGGAACCAGCACUCCUUUUCCAAGCUAGUGCCAAGACACAAGGAGUCGAGAGAUUUAUAUAAAUUUAACAGCAAACACAGCCUAUACUCAGAGGUAACUGCAUUUUUAUCAGGAGGUACAGGAUAUGAGGCUCUGACACCUCUCUCCUCUGAUUCAUACACUGGAAUAAAGCAGAAAUUUGAUGGCAUCUGCAUUGCUGACUCAAUCAUGUAUCUUCAGUGCAGAUCUUGUUAGUGCCGGGAAAAAGGAUUUGGAGUGGAAAGUGCUCUUCUUGCCUGCACAUAGCCUGCAGUGCAGCCACAGCUUUGCUGUUGUGCCUCAAGACUGCACCAGUAAAAAUAGGAAGCCAGAAGCCCCAUCAGAAAUUACAGGUAGGAGGAAGGGUGAAGUGUGAAAUGAAAGCUGAGAGAGAAAGAAUUGCUUGGUCUUUGUUUUUUCAGCAUUUUCUCAUUUUAAACUAUAAGGAAUCUCUACGAUGACGGUUAAGUAAAAGAAAAUAUGCUGAAAGUGAUGGAAAUGCAAAGUAUUGGCCCCAGUCCCACUGCUGACAUACGUGGCCAAACCCUCUGAUUGAGGCUGGCACGUGUGUCCCCAUGGGAUCCCUCCUCAGACUCACUUUUCAAAUACAGACGCACUGACAUUUCCUCACCCUUUUACCAGCGGUAGUAAUUCUCCAGCAAAUCCCCAGGCUCAGGGAACAAUGUUUGUGUACCAUGAAGCCAUGCACUCUGCUUUGCAAACUGAUGCCACAGCCAAGACUUGGUGAAAGUCCAGGACAGGACCGCAGAGCAUGAGGCCAGUGGCACUCACAACAUGCAGGAACAUCUUUUCUUUUUCUUUAAAUCAUUUUUAUACAACUUCUUCAAAAGGUUUGACAGGACCGUAGUAAAACAUGAUCCCUGUAGGGAGUUUAUGCAAACUCGUAGCACGCAGCUGGGUAGAGGGCACUGUGAAGGCGCAGCAGCAGUUAGCGCCCGCCGCCUUUGCUUCAGAAUGCUUUUUAAUAGCUUUCUGAUUAUUUCAUUACUUUAUCCUCCCACGUUGCUGAAUAACAGUGUAUAUGUCUGCCCUGCAACCCAGUGCAUGACCUCCCCUGCCCCAGCUCAUGGGGACAGGUUUGAUUUCAAGCUAGUAAAGCCAGUCCAAGAAACAAAGAGAUUCCCAGGUGGUUUCUUUACCCUCUGCAGCCACUUUACCAGAGGCAGCACUGGCAUAUGGUUCAAGUUGAACCAGGAGAGUUUCACUGAAGGAAUUCCCACCAUGAGGCAGGAGUGUAAGUCCAAAGCUAUCUGUAGCAUACUAUAAGGUGAAUCAGGUUGUUCCUAAGGCUGUGCUAGAGGUGGGUCAAGAUUCACAGGCUCCCUGAACAACCUGCACCCAUCUUGUGCUUUUUCGUCAUCCCUUUUGCCACAUUUUGGCCCUUUUACAUCGCUGGAAAUGAUUCCUCCUCCUGCUGUGCUUGGAGAAAUAAGCUUCUCAUUUGGCAUCAGGACAUGCUUCCACCUCCCAGCCAGAUCAGACCAAAAGCAAGCACUGCUUUGCUGCCAGCUCCCGCUGACAGCUGGAUGUGCACCUCGCUACACCAGCAGUUUGGCUGCAAGCAAAUGAUCGCCAUGUGAAACUGAGAUUCCCAAACUGGGGUUCCACUUCCCCUGUGAACCCCUAUGCCCCAAUGUCUGAGCUGCCCCAGGCUCUGAAGGCUCCAACCGACAGCCAAGGUUCACAUGGAGAUCACUCCUCAACAGCCCUAGGGAAGGGCAAAUGCUCACUAGCAUUUCCUAUUAAUUGAAUUAAUUUGAGGAUUUCCUAUUAAUUUCCUAUCAUAAACAUUGCUUUAUGAACUAAUAAGAAGAAAGCCAGCCAUCCUCUACCCAUCAGAACAUAACCAAGUGAAAGUCCCACACACCAGUGCUAUUUUUUGGAGGGAAAGAACAGGUUUUAAGUGCCUCUAUUUUAAAAGAAUGGCCCAUGCAAGCAGCCAAAGACUUUGCAGCAGAACUGGGCAGGUUCAGACCCAUUUAAAGGAAAAAGCAUCCCCAGGCCAUGUUCUGUGGUAAACUCUGUGUUUUUUCCAAGGGAAUAUGAGAAAAGCAAGGAAGAGGCAUGCAGCCCAGAGAGCAGUUGGGCAAGAUGCCACCAUCUCUUUCUGCCCCAGUCAUAACUGAAUGUCCCAGGACCUCCUCUCUGAUAAAAGCCAGCGUGUGGGAAAGAAAUCAUCUUUGAUUUCCGUUUCUUAAUGGCACAUCCUGAAAGAGCCAUCCCUGCAUGGGAGCGGCCAGCAACUGCAUUCAUCCCAUGCAAGAGCCACCAGUGGCCGCCUCUCCUCUACCAUUUGAAAGGAUACUGCGACCUUGUCCUGGUCUUCCUACAAGUUAUCAUACAUCAUAAAACCUUCUGCUUGAUAUGAGAUAGAGAGGAUGGAUUUUGUGCUUAGUGAAGAGCAGUGAAGCUGGUGAAAGGUUUGGAGCACAAGUCCUUUGAGGAGCAGCUGAGGGAACUGAGGUUGUUUAGCCUCAGGGGAGACCUUAUUGCUCUCUACAGCUACCUGCAAGGAGGUUGUAGCAAGGUGGAGGUCGGUCUCUUCUCCCAUGUGACAAGUGACGGGACAAGAGGAAGCAGCUUCAAGGUGUGCAAGGGGAGAUUUAGAUAAGAUGUUAGGAAAAAUUUCUUCACUGAAAGGGUUGUCAAGCAUUGGAAGAGGCUCCACAGGGAAGUGGUGGAGUCACCAUCCCUGGAGGUAUUUAAAAGACAUUGCAGAUGUUAAGGGUCUUUUCCAACCUAAACAAUUCCAUGAUUUUAUGAUUUCCAGGCAGCUGCUCCCAGGACCCACCACAGAAUGACCAUAAAGCCAAAACCUGACACAGGACUGGAAAUCCUUUUCUCCAUCCCAAGGAAGACCAGCGAAAGAGAAAAAAUGAAGGAAGCAACCAUGAACCUUCGAUUCCAAAUCACCCAACAACCACAAAAUCCUUUUUGGGAUGCCCAGUGAUCAAAUCUCAGCUGCCACAAAAAUCAACGUUGGUGACAUGGGAGCAGAGGUUCCCUCACCUUCAUUAAUUUUUGCUGGAUAUGAUUGAUUCAAGUUUCUGGGCAGCAGUAAAGUUGGAAAAAGCAAGUUCCCGGCAAUGAGUAUCUGCCAAAAUAAACAGAGCUGGAUGUCACCAUGAUAGGAGGAGCAUAUGUGCCACUUCCUUUCUCUGUCUCCAGCCUAAACCAUAGAAUCAUAGAAUGGGUUGGAUUGGAAAGGACCUUAAGAUCACCCAGUUCCAACCCCCUGCCAAUGUCCCUGCCACGAGCAGGAACACCUUCCACUAGACCAGGUUGCUCCAAGCCCUGUCCAACCUGGCCUUGAACACUUCCAAUUCCUUUAACCAUCUGAUAAGAAAGCAGAUGAGACAUAGGUGCCAAUGCCUAAAGUACAGGAAAAAUGCUGUUACGCUGAGAGAGAGGGAAGGGUUUUAUGCACAGUGCAGGUUCCCAUCCAACAGUCAUAAUAUUUCUGGAGUGUUUUGGGGGUUUUACCAUGUGUGCACUCACAUUUCUGUAUAAAUCAGUGCAUGGGAAGUAAAAUUAGACGUGACAUGAGGGAAUGGAAAAACCCAGGUGAGUUCUUCCCAGCAGGACCCUUUGUUCUCUCAGCGAGUUCUGAUUUCCCAGCAUAUGUGGCUGGUAUAGGUGAUGUUUUCUCUUCAUGUUUUUUUACUUCUUUAUACCAGUCUUCAUGCUUUGGGGGGAGGGAGGAUGGCAAUGGAAUCAACCCUGUCAAAAAGGUUGACAUUUUGUAGCAGAUAAAGCCAAAUAUAGACAGUUGCUUUGAUUUGGCUUUUUGCUGAAUUUUAGGGGAGGCAGGAGAGGAUUUAGGCAACAGGGAGAAGUUCUUCCCUGUGGUGGUGGUAAGGCCCUGGCACAGGUUGCCCAGAGAAGCUGUGGCUGUCCCAUCCUUGGCAGUGUUUCAAGGCCAAAUUGAACAGAGCUUGGAGCAACCUGGUCUAGUGGAAGGUGUCCCUGCCUGUGGCAGGGGGGUGGAACUGGAUGAGCUUUAAGGUCCCUUCUGACACAAAGAAUUUUAUGUUUCUAUGCUAACAUUUACAACCCCAUAUAAAUGCUAUGUAUCAGCACCUCCAGCCUCUGAAUCCA